UUUUUCUGGCUCUAAGCUUAACAGACAAACAAAAAACUCUAAGAUAUUUAAUGUGUACAUCUUGGUAAUUAAGACAAUUUGUUACACAGUAAUAAAUAAAACAAAGAGGAAGGAAAACAAGUCUCUCAACAAAGUGUGACUAACACUUUGCUAUCAAAACUACCGGUGAAAACUCAACUAUACUUCAAUUAAAAAAAACAAUUAACAGUAAAGAGUGUAGGCUCUGCAGGUCACCUGUCAAAAGAAGCUUUGUGACCUGGACUAAGAGCAAUUUCUCAGGCUCACUUGGCCAUCUGUAACAUGAUACAUAAUCCCCUUUACUAGCAGCUUUCUCUAGAUUUUUUAAAAAGUUACCAAUUCUCAGCAGGGAACACCUCCAUUACUCUCCUAAGUUGUCCAACAGCCUGUUUCACUGGUCUUCAUUUACUUCACUC
rnacentral:lncRNA from 1 species